GACGAACGCUGGCGGCAGGCCUAACACCUGCAAGUCGAGCGGAGCGGCGGACGGGUGAGUAAUGCCUAGGAAUCUGCCUGGUAGUGGGGGAUAACGUCCGGAAACGGGCGCUAAUACCGCAUACUAUCAGAUGAGCCUAGGUCGGAUUAGCUAGUUGGUGGGGUAAAGGCCUACCAAGGCGACGAGCCGUAACUGGUCUGAGAGGAUGAUCAGUCACACUGUAACUUAGACACGGUCCAGACGACUAAGGGAGGCAGCAGUGGGGAAUAUGGGACAAUGGGAGAAAGCCUGAUGCAGACAUGCCGCGUGUGUGAAGAAGGUAUUCGGAUUGUAAAGCACUUUAAGUUGGGAGGCGUUACCAACAGAAUAAGCACCGGCUAACUUCGUGCCAGCAGCCGCGGUAAUUC
rnacentral:rRNA from 1 species